AACGAACGCUGGCGGCAGGCCUAACACAUGCAAGUCGAACGCUCUCUUCGGAGGGAGUGGCAGACGGGUGAGUAACACGUGGGAACCUACCCCUUGGUACGGAAUAACUGAUGGAAACGUUAGCUAAUACCGUAUGAGCGCUGAGGCGGAAAGAUUUAUCGCAAAGGGAUGGGCCCGCGUAGGAUUAGCUAGUUGGUGGGGUAAAGGCCUACCAAGGCGACGAUCCUUAGCUGGUCUGAGAGGAUGAUCAGCCACACUGGGACUGAGACACGGCCCAGACUCCUACGGGAGGCAGCAGUGGGGAAUAUUGGACAAUGGGCGCAAGCCUGAUCCAGCCAUGCCGCGUGAGUGAUGAAGGCCUUAGGGUUGUAAAGCUCUUUCACCUGGGAAGAUAAUGACGGUACCAGGAGAAGAAGCCCCGGCUAACUUCGUGCCAGCAGCCGCAGUAAAAC
rnacentral:rRNA from 1 species